rnacentral:rRNA from 1 species
GACGAACGCUGGCGGCGUGCUUAACACAUGCAAGUCGAACGGAAAGGCCCUGCUUUGGUGGGGUGCGCGAAUGGCGAACGGGUGAGUAACACGUGAGUAACCUGCCCUUGACUUUGGGAUAACUUCAGGAAACUGGGGCUAAUAGCGGAUAGGAGCUCCUGCUGCAUGGUGGGGGUUGGAAAGCUUCGGCGGUUGGGGAUGGACUCGCGGCUUAGCAGCUUGUUGGUGGGGUAGUGGCUUACCAAGGCGUUGACGGGUAGCCGGCCUGAGAGGGUGACCUGACACAUUGGGACUGAGCUACGGCCCAGACUCAUACGGGACGCAGCAGUGGGGAAUAUUGCACUAUGGGCGGAAGCCUGAUGCAGUAACGCCGCGUGCGGGAUGACGGCCUUCGGGUUGUAAACCGAUUUCGUCUGUGACGAAGCGUGAGUGACGGUAAUGGGUAAAGAAGCACCGGCUAACUACGUG